rnacentral:rRNA from 1 species
UUGAACGCUGGCGGCAUGCCUUACACAUGCAAGUCGAACGGUAACAGGUUAAGCUGACGAGUGGCGAACGGGUGAGUAAUAUAUCGGAACGUGCCCAGUCGUGGGGAUAACGUAGCGAAAGCUACGCUAAUACCGCAUACGAUCUAUGGAUGAAAGCGGGGGAUCGCAAGACCUCGCGCGAUUGGAGCGGCCGAUAUCAGAUUAGCUAGUUGGUGAGGUAAAGGCUCACCAAGGCGACGAUCUGUAGCUGGUCUGAGAGGACGACCAGCCACACUGGAACUGAGACACGGUCCAGACUCCUACGGGAGGCAGCAGUGGGGAAUUUUGGACAAUGGGCGCAAGCCUGAUCCAGCCAUGCCGCGUGUGUGAAGAAGGUCUUCGGAUUGUAAAGCACUUUAAGUUGGGAGGAAGGUUAGUAACCUAAUACGUUGCUGAUUUGACGUUACCGACAGAAUAAGCACCGGCUAACUCUGUG